GACGUAGGGUGCGAGCGUUGUCCGGAUUUAUUGGGCGUAAAGAGCUCGUAGGCGGCUCGUCGCGUCGACCGUGAAAACCCGCGGCUUAACUGCGGGCUUGCGGUUGAUACGGGCGGGCUAGAGUUCGGUAGGGGAGACUGGAAUUCCUGGUGUAGCGGUGAAAUGCGCAGAUAUCAGGAGGAACACCGGUGGCGAAGGCGGGUCUCCGGGCCGAUACUGACGCUGAGGAGCGAAAGCGUGGGGAGCGAACAGG
rnacentral:rRNA from 1 species